GCUGGUGUAGCUCAGUUGGUAGAGCAGCUGACUUGUAAUCAGCAGGUCGCAAGUUCGAAUCUUGUCACCAGCU
rnacentral:tRNA from 1 species